ACGAACGCUGGCGGCGUGCUUAACACAUGCAAGUCGCACGGAAAGGCCCUGCUUUUGUGGGGUGCUCGAGUGGCGAACGGGUGAGUAACACGUGAGUAACCUGCCCUUGACUUUGGGAUAACUUCAGGAAACUGGGGCUAAUACCGGAUAGGAGCUCCUGCUUCAUGGUGUGGGUUGGAAAGUUUCGGCGGUUGGGGAUGGACUCGCGGCUUAUCAGCUUGUUGGUGGGGUAGUGGCUUACCAAGGCUUUGACGGGUAGCCGGCCUGAGAGGGUGACCGGCCACAUUGGGACUGAGAUACGGCCCAGACUCCUACGGGAGGCAGCAGUGGGGAAUAUUGCACAAUGGGCGGAAGCCUGAUGCAGCAACGCCGCGUGCGGGAUGACGGCCUUCGGGUUGUAAACCGCUUUCGCCUGUGACGAAGCGUGAGUGACGGUAAUGGGUAAAGAAGCACCGGCUAACUACGUG
rnacentral:rRNA from 1 species